rnacentral:rRNA from 1 species
UACGUAGGGGGCAAGCGUUAUCCGGAUUUACUGGGUGUAAAGGGCGUGUAGGCGGGAAUGCAAGUCAGAUGUGAAAACUAUGGGCUCAACCCAUAGCCUGCAUUUGAAACUGUAUUUCUUGAGUGCUGGAGAGGCAAUCGGAAUUCCGUGUGUAGCGGUGAAAUGCAUAGAUAUCGCGCAGAACCCCGAUUGCGAAGGCAGCCUGCCGGCCCCACACUGACGCUGAGGCACGAAAGCGUGGGUAUCGAACAGG